rnacentral:rRNA from 1 species
GCUGCUAAUACCGCAUAAGCGCACGAGAGGACAUCCUCUUGUGUGAAAAACUCCGGUGGUACAGGAUGGGCCCGCGUCUGAUUAGCUGGUUGGCAGGGUAACGGCCUACCAAGGCGACGAUCAGUAGCCGGUCUGAGAGGAUGAACGGCCACAUUGGAACUGAGACACGGUCCAA